CUUGAGUGGCGGACGGGUGAGUAACACGUGAGAAUCGCCUUUAGGCGGGGAAUAACCAUCGGAAACAAUGGCUAAUGCCCCAUAUGCUCGUAAGAGUGAAAGGAGUAAUCCACCCAAAGAGAAGCUCGCGGCUGGUUAGCUAGUUGGUAAGGUAAUGGCUUACCAAGGCGACGAUCAGUAGCUGGUUUGAGAGAACGAUCAGCCACACUGGAACUGAGACACGGUCCAGACUCCUACGGGAGGCAGCAGUGGGGAAUUUUCCGCAAUGGGCGAAAGCCUGACGGAGCAAUACCGCGUGAGGGAUGAAGGCCUUUGGGUUGUAAACCUCUUUUAUCAAGGAGGAAGUUCUGACGUGUACUUGAUGAAUAAGCAUCGGCUAACUCCGUGCCAGCAGCCGCGGUAAGACGGAGGAUGCAAGUGUUAUCCGGAAUCACUGGGCGUAAAGCGUCUGUAGGUGGUUUAAAAAGUCCACUGUUAAAGAUUGAAGCUUAACUUCAAAAAUGCCGUGGAAACUUUUAAACUUGAGUAUGAUAGGGGUAGAGGGAAUUUCCAGUGGAGCGGUGAAAUGCGUAAGAUAUCGGAAAGACCACCAAUGGCGAAGGCACUCUACUGGGCCAUUACUGACACUGAGAGACGAAA
rnacentral:rRNA from 1 species